rnacentral:rRNA from 1 species
AACGAACGCUGGCGGCAUGCCUAACACAUGCAAGUCGAACGAGACCUUCGGGUCUAGUGGCGCACGGGUGCGUAACGCGUGGGAACCUGCCCUUAGGUUCGGAAUAACUCCCCGAAAGGGGUGCUAAUACCGGAUAAUGUCUUCGGACCAAAGAUUUAUCGCCUUUGGAUGGGCCCGCGUUGGAUUAGCUAGUUGGUAGGGUAAAAGCCUACCAAGGCGACGAUCCAUAGCUGGUCUGAGAGGAUGAGCAGCCACACUGGGACUGAGACACGGCCCAGACUCCUACGGGAGGGAGCAGUGGGGAAUAUUGGACAAUGGGCGAAAGCCUGAUCCAGCAAUGCCGCGUGAGUGAUGAAGGCCUUAGGGUUGUAAAGCUCUUUUACCCGGGAUGAUAAUGACAGUACCGGGAGAAUAAGCUCCGGCUAACUCCGUG